rnacentral:snoRNA from 1 species
AAGACUAUGCCUUAGGGGAUCAUUUCUAGAGUUCAUUCCUAGAGAAGUUUCUCUGAUCUUGAAGAAUACUGGAAACCACGAGGAAGAUGUCCUCCUGAGGGACAUCUCUUGGUGUUGCUUUACUGAAACUGCCUUUUACCAUUGAUGACUGUUCUUCUCUUUAGAGGGGU